rnacentral:rRNA from 1 species
UACGUAGGUGGCUAGCGUUGCUCGGAAUUACUGGGCGUAAAGCGCACGUAGGCGGAUUGUUAAGUCGGGGGUGAAAUCCUGGAGCUCAACUCCAGAACUGCCUUCGAAACUGGCGAUCUUGAGUUCGGGAGAGGUGAGUGGAACUGCGAGUGUAGAGGUGAAAUUCGUAGAUAUUCGCAAGAACACCAGUGGCGAAGGCGGCUCACUGGCCCGAUACUGACGCUGAGGUGCGAAAGCGUGGGGAGCAAACAGG